AGAUUUUGGUGUGGACACUUCCUCAACAACUCCUUAAAUCUUUCCCAUGGCUCAAACAUAUAUUCUGCGUCCAACUGUACAAAAGAAGUAAUCUCCUAAUGCAAAUU